UUCAAUGUUUUUAUUGCAUAAUAGGUCAUAUAAAUUGCAUCGCAAUAACCAUAAAAUUUAAAAGCUAAAAUUUUGCGUCCGUUCAUUAAAUUGUUUCUCAUUCAGAUUUACAAUUUUCCAUUCACCCAAAUUCUCAUUCAUUACAUAAUUUUUCCUCUCUAAUUACAUGGAGUGUCAGCCAAUUAUAUGGUCUCCCAGUUUUGUGUCAUGAAACUGUCUGUACUACUGAAAGCUUCCGAGACCAACGUGGUUUUCAGAACAGUUUUAAAUGACUUAAGCAUUGUGACAUUUUUGUUCGAAUUGACAGUUUGAUGACGAAAUGGUCUCCUGCCUGCGAAGGCAAUCGUUAUUACGCCACCGUCCUAUGUUUUCCGGUACGGUAGUUAGUCCUGCCUCUAAUGUCACAAGAGAAUACAUCACUAACUCUUAUGACCUUGCAUUUUGAUUUGAAAAAAGGGAUAUUCUAAGAAUAUAGAGAAAGGGAGGCGUCAUCAAUUUGAGGCUUUUUAAUACUGAUCUGUACGACUCUUUCCAUUAAAGUUUACAUUUAUUCUGACUGCUUUUCUCUGCAGGGAGAAGAUUCUAUGAACAUUUUUGAAUACACAGUCUCCCUACAAUAUCACUCCGUACGAGAGAUGUGGGUAGAUUAUUCCAUAAUACGCAGUCAACAGUACCUGAAUUGGGCAGUAUUUUGAAAGCUGUGUCAAAACAUAAAUACUUGAAGACAGUUUUAAAUAGCCACUGUCAACGUGAUAAUGCCAUGCCAACACUCUAUAAAGGUAUAUGCCAAGGAAUUCAGUUGACAGGGCGUAUUCGAACUCACUUUCAUCCAACAUGAUUUUUGAAUUCCAAUCUGAGUCCGUAUUUCGACGGAUUGUUUUGAGAUUGAGCUCAAGUGCUGGCUUGCAUUGUUUAGCUCUGUGAAUGUCACCAUUUCCAGUUCUGGGAUUGAUCUUAAAGUGAAACAGAGAGUCGAGUAAUCUGCGUAUGUGACAGUGUGCCCUUGAUUAAGAGAUGAGCCAGUGUCUUUGACAUACAGCAAGAAGAGAAGUAGACUGAGUAUGAAACCUUAAGGGACUCUACAGCUCAGGAACUCCUCCCCCAAUUACAUGUCUGACAUUGCUAUACACUAUUUUCUAUUAAUAAGGUACUAUUUGAGCUAAUCCAAAGGCACUAACCGUAUCCCGUAAUAUUCAAGUCAUUGUGUAAUUAUAAACGCAGUCAAACUCUGUUGAUAAGUCUAGAAACACGCUAAGUGUGUCUCUUUGACCUUCAAGUCCAUACACUAUCAAGUCAACUGGACACACGACUGCGUCUAACGUUGACUUCCCACUUCAAAAUUCAAAUUGUUUAUUGAUAGAAGAAUAUGAAUCUCCAAAACAACACGAUCCGAAUUAAGAAGGCCUUUUUAAAAUUUUUCUGAAAGUCGGCAAAAUCAAAAUUUGUCGGUCAUUUUAAAAAUCUGGGUGACUUUGGCUGUUUUAAGAGAGGAGGGAAAAGUUCCAGAGUGACAAGUUGUGUAAUUAAGUGUUCGAGUAGUUUCAGCAAAUGAAUUGGGCACUGUUUUAGAAGCCACGUUGACAUAUAAUUCAAACCACUCGAGUUUUUUUAUGGAAAAUCUCUUAAAACUCUGGCAAUUUCCUCCUCUGAGGAUGGUGGGCUCCAUACUGAUGGGGACUAAAUGAAUGGAUCUGACGCGGACUGAGUCCUUGGUCACCUCCGGCCCUGGUGGAAUCACUCACUCUCAACUCCUUUGUCGGUAUAUGCAUGAUUAUUGUUAAUUAUGGCCACCACGGUGUUUAAACAUAUUUCACACGACUAAUGCUUUUGUGGUGUCAUAUGCUUUAACAGCUCUGAUAACCGGCCUGUAAAUUCGUUUGUAAUUUUAGACUUGUUGAGUGCAUGGAAAUUUCGGAGAGAAACAGCAAUUCCAAUCGCGAAAUUUAUAUACUUUUGGUAACCAAAUCGUAUUUUCGUGUUCUCGGUUUUGUUGUGUUAUUUUUAAGGGACAGCUCACGUUCAAGUGAAAGGUAAAGGCUCCUGCAAAAGAUUAAAAUUGCUGUUCCACGGGAUCAUCAAAAUUUAGAAAAUUUCAACUUUCUCGGGAAAGCAAAGAGUUUGGAGUACGAUGUGUGUGGGCCUCGUGUUUCUGAUUGUCUUCUGUUGAUUGGAUCCCGUGUUGCCCGUGACCCUCGAUUAUUGCCUGCUAGCCAAAAUGUACCGAGAGGCUGUGUUGAUAACUUGCACCUCAUAGUUAGGCUCGUUGGACUGGUUUGGUAACGAUGCUGUCGAUUUGCUGUCGCUGAAGUGUGGUCAUCCUUGUCGCUUACUUUAUUGACCAGACGAGACCGAAAACCGUAAGUAAUAAUUUUUUAUCUUUACAAGUUUAGGUUUCAUAAAGAAUAAAUUCACAUAGGCCAAAAGUGGCUUUUAAGAUAAAAUAAGAUACCUUUUAUAUGAAUAUAGUACUCAAAUCCUUAAAAAAAUUAGGAUAUAAUUCAUUCUCUAUUGUUACGCAAUUAAGAACAAUUACAUACUCUUUAUUUGCAGUGCGAGUUUAACCUCAAAAUUGCAUUAUUAAUUUAAUUGUUAAUUUAAACUUGAAUUAACUAUCAUAACUUUAAAUGCGAAAUAAUCCAUCUACUUUUCUUCUGCCCAGUUUAUUUUUCAGUUUCCUUGGGCAGUUCCAAUAAGAGGGCCAUCUCCUUUACUGUUUAAAUUACCGGUAUCUACCUUAAGUGGACCAUACGGUUUCACUGUUUAAACUAUCGGCAUCUAUUUUUAAGUGGGCUAUCUACUUUACUCUUUAAACUAUAGAUAUCUACUUCAAGUAGAUCAUCUGCUUCACAGUUUAACUACCAGUAUCUACUUUAAGUAGACUAUCUCCUUUACAGUUUAGACUACCAAUAUCUACAUUAAGUGGUUCAUCUGCUUCACUGUUUAGACUACCGGUAUCUACUUGAAGUGGACCAUUUGCUGUACGGUUUUAACUACUGGUAUCUACUUUAAGUAGACCAUUUGCUUUACUGUUUGAAUUACCGGUAUCUACUUUUAAGUGUACCAUCUGAUUUACUAUUUAAACUACUGGUAUCUACUGUCUAAUAGAAUUGUGUUUUUCUUACAAACAGGUGUCGGCUGUCCUAUAAUGAAAACGUAAUUCUGUGGUCAAGUAUGACAAGGAUGCUGUAGAGAUUGCACUUUCUCCAUCGUCAUAGUCUUUAUUAAUCUUAGAUUUGGACGACGAUUUUGUUAACUUAUUGGAUAGAAUUGUUACGGCAAUUUCCUAAACCACUUACAAAUUUCUUGCGGGAUUUGACGAUCUUAGCAGCGAUUUACUACUCUUUGUUACGUCUUAAGGUAGACUGCAAGUCACCAUGUGUUUUAAACACCCUUAACUUGCGGAAGAACUUCUCUUUCCUCUUGCAAUAUAUUUUCAGUGACAGCUGGGCCAAGGUUUUGCCUUGUGUUUUGGGGUUUCGAUCUUGGAUCCCGAUCUCCCGCACGGUUUUUUAGUACUGAAAAUCCCUAUAUCUAAACACGACAAUCCCGGAAUUUUCGGUAUUUAAAAUUUACAACAUUUCACUAAAAAUAAGUCAUUAUUGAGAAUUUUUGUUGUAAAGAAGUACAAUUGUCAUACAAAUUAAUCUUAUAAAUGGACAGACCAGAUGACAUCGUUUAAAAGUAGUUUUAAACUAUCUAUUGACCACAAUACCACAAUAAAGUGUUGAAGCAGAGAGAGCAUUUCAUCUCCGGGCUACAUGUGCAAUAAAUUAAGAACGCGACUAGGAUAUGAAACGUUAAAUGCACGGGUUUUUUCCGCUCCCACUUCCAGUCAUCAUAAGUAAAAUAUAGGAUUAGUGAAAGAUAAUGAUUAGUGUGGUGUGUAAUUUUAAUCGUUAUUAUUUAAUUUUGUUUGAAUUUAAUUUGCCAUCACGAAGUAUUUAAAAUAUUUCAUUUAAUCUAAUGUCGACUAUGCAUUUUCAAUAUAAAAUUUAUUUUGCAAAAGGUAUUUAUUUGUACGUUAUUUAUUUUAUUCAAAUAACUCACACGCUAUAUAUUGAAAAUUAAACUUAAAUAUAAGGAAAUAGGAUGAUGGUAGUCAUCUAUAUUCAAUUUGACGGUUUUGUAUUUGUUCUGUAAUUAUAUAUAAUUUGGCAAAAAAUAAUAUUAAAUAAUACUCAUUAUUCUUUUGCUGCCUAUGUGGUCAAAAUGCUACCUACAACCAGACAAAUUGUAUUCUAAUUAAGUUAUACGUUCAAAAAACUAAAUUUAGAUUUUUGAAAGUAAUCAAGCCAAGUCGUUAAAUUAAUAUUGUUCUGCGUAAUAAUCUAAAUUUUCGAUUGAGUUAGUGUUCAUUUCAUACAAUAAAAACAUGUAUUCAACAGUUACAUUAAUAUUAAAUAUCCAUAGAUUAAUCUCUACCUGCCAAUAAUUGAAAUUUUUAACUAUGUUGACAUAGUAAUAGCUUUGUACAUUAAUACAGAUUGCGUCUAUGUCCUUUUCUCAAAUUUGAGCACCAAACAUUGUCUAACCACUGCUAUGCCAAGUUAAAAGUUUACUGGUAAAAUCUUUAAUGAUUACUUUCUCUAUCAGUCAAAUAAGUACGAAUAUUCCUGAAAAACGUGUGCUGAGUACUUGAGCUUUUUUCUGAACCUGUAAUGGGAUUCCUUGUAUAAGGAAAUAUUUUCUUAAUUUUUUCUUAUUCUCCGAACUGAUCCCUUAAAAUCUUGAAACAGUAAAUACUGCAAACUACAGUUAUGUUCGUAUCAAGAACGCUGGGUGCAUUAAGGGUGAAGAGUUAUGACUUGGUUUAUCGAAGUUUCUGCUUUCCCUGUCUGCUACUUGUAACAUUAUUGUGCUCUCGAAUGUGAUUUGGUUGUUAUAAAAUGCCAAUUAGAUGUUAAAGCUGAGAUAUCUUUCGUUAAUCUCGUCUGGAUAUUUUGCUCCUCCUUGAUGAUUCUGAAUAGUGCUCUAAUUAGGUGUUAUAUUGAACAAGAUGUUGUUAUAGUAUUUCUGUUGAUGCUGAGAAGAAAAAAAUGUUAUUGUGUUAACUGUUGUGUAAUCUGGUCAUUAAUUAAUUGUUUAAUGUUGACAAAAUAAUGUCAUCUGUUGUCUAUUGCUGGAAGUAAUUAUGUCGUUAGUUGAACAAUGAACAUGUCUCUUCACAUCUACUUUAAGCUUAUGACAAAGUCAAUGUAUCUUUGUGUUUCUCAGAUUGCAGGAAAUCGUAUUCAAACAUGCAUUUCGACUAUGAAACAGAAAUUUAGAUAUUCAAAAAUAUUUCCCUUUUUACAAUACUCUGACCGAUUACUUCAUAAUAUAUAGACUGUGAAAUGAAGCUCGGCAUUGUUAUCUUACGUCUCAAAAGCAGUUCAGAUAUUUAAAACUGUACGUAUUUUAGAAAAACCAUUUUAGCUAUAGAAUAUAAUUCAGAAUAACUUCUACUUAAUGAUGAAUGCAUUUUGAGAUUAAUAGAGUAGUUCAAGAGUCUUUAUUGAAAAUACUUGUCUUUUUGUACUUAUAUAUGAUUGCUGAUUUGUAAAUAAAUUUACAUAAUAAAACAGAAUACAGAACUCAAUAUUGUUUGUUUAAAAAUAAUAUUUUUUUAUUUCAAUUUGUAUAAAUCUUAUUGUUAAACUUUCAAUAAGUUAUCUGUAUUAUAGUUCAAUUACGUUUUUUAUAAUGUAAUAAUGGAAUAUUUAUAAGCCAAACACCAUAAAAAUGUAUCUAAUAUAAAUCAUACAAAAGCCUUAACACAAUUAAUAAAUGUUAGAAAAUAGAUUGUUAAGUUUUGCUAUACAAAUACUUCAUAGACGUUCAUACCUAUCUUCAUUACAUUUAACUAGGAAGGGCAAGGUCUAGAAUAUAUUAUUAUACAUAUUAAAUAAUAAAGACUUGACGGGAGACUUAAGGUGAUAUAUAAUAAUGUAAUGUAUAUUAAGUUUGGUUGUAUGGCGCUAGCCUAUAUAAAAUGAGGGAUGUAAAGGAUAAUAAGCUUAUGUGAAUGAAAAUUGUAUUGCAAACUAAAGUAUUUUACAUCUGAAGUCAAGGUUAAAAUAUUUUUGCACUUUUAUAGUGUAUUACUGUGCCUAGGAACUAACUAACUGUACAGUAAUGUUCCUCGAGUAACUUGUGUAAGCCAAUAUCCUUGCCAUUCCUUACAUACGGUUUACUAUAAGAUAGACUUAAUUCUAGCCAUUGUUGAUUUGAUCGCACAAGUAGUAUAAAUCUGACAAAACAUCAGCAUUCCUCACAUGUGCAUCUAACAAUUUUACUUGAUAUCUCACUAGACACUCAAUUAUGUCGAAUAUAUCUCAAUAAUAUUAUCUCAAUUUUGUUGAAAACUCACAAGUGUUGAAGGUUUCAGGCAGUAUUUAGAAACAAUUUUGUUUUAAAAAAUAACAAAUAAAACUCGACUUUGGUAUGCGGAACAUUACGACUUGCUAAAAGUUUCUUAGUUAAUUGCAUUUUAGUUUCGAUUCCUGAUUAAUUUUCCCAAGCUUGCUGAACCAUCCAGCUUGAGUUAACACGUAGAGGUUAACGUUCUAAUUGAUAAAUUUGCAAACAUUUUAUGGUAAUUAUUUAAGUUCUCUUAUCAAACAAGUUACUAUACAUUAUUAUCUAUUCAUUUUAUCAAACUAAAUGUAAUGUUUUUUUAGUGUAAACAUACAGUACCCAUGAAAAAAUGUAACUAAAACAUUUUUAUUUACACAUUUGCACCUUGAACCAACUUUAAAAAUAAACUAGGAGACACACGUUAAUUUCUGGAGCAUAAUUUGGCUUUCUGGACUCGCUUCUUUCCUCAUAGGCUAAAAAAUGUGUUUUUCCCCAAUAGCGAAUUUGUAUCUUUAGCGCAGAGCUAACCAAAUUUUAAGCCUUAACUUGAUACCAACACAAGUAUAGUUAAAAUAUUUUGUGCAUUAAAGUUUUCAGGUAAUGAGGAUAACAUCAAUCAACUUUUGUAUAUGUAUUCUGAAUUUUUAAGAAAAUACUACAAUUUGUAUUCAACGCUCAAGUUUACAUUUUUAAUGUUUUUAAAUUCGGGUGCAAAUUCAGGAUUGUAGGCCUCUUCUAAUUUAUUCAAAAAUACAAAAAAACUCCCAUUUGCGGUGGCCUUCUGAUUAAGAAAUUUUUUUUAAAAUUUUCAGCUCCAGUCUGUUCAAGAAGCUUGCCUAAGUGCUGUAACUUACCAAUGAGUUCCGUAAGAGAUAUAACAUGCACUAUACUAAAUGUUCCAAAAGCUUGUACUCUUUCUCUCUCCCUCUCUUUCUUUAUUUAUCCUGAGUUCGGCAGGGUUGGUCCAUCUACUUUGAUGCUCGUCCUUUGCCAAGGAACGGAUUACCUGACGUACGUAUCUCCUAGAUAUCCAACAGGACGGUUCAGUUCCACGAACUUUGUUGACGAUGCAAUAUUUUCCAAUUCAUCAGGGGUUUCAUUAACUCUAAUUUCAGUAUAUCCUGGAACCCAAGAGAAAAUGAGGUUGUUGUGUAAUCUACCCACCUUAAAGACUGCAAUGUAAGUCCCGGACGAUCCUUCACCUGAACUCAUCAUAAGACAGGCUCUAAUGACCGAAUUUCCUGGAACAUUCUUCAAAUCACAGGUUCUCACAAGAGCAUUUCAUACAGCUGUAACUUCUGCCUUCCAUACAGAGGGGUUCUCUCCCAUAGGAAGGUAGAUAUCUAUAGCAGAAUGCUCCCCCACAGCAUUUCCUCUAUCGGUGGCAUCUUAAUCUUGGCUCUACGAAAUUUGAUGGACACGAAGUUGAUUACCACGAAAUCCUUGAUCACACAGUAAUGAUAAAUACGAACCCUUCUGAAACAACCCCAGCAUCACAAGAAGUGUUAAGUAUGUGCAAUUAGACUACCGGUUUUUAAUCAUCAAAACCAUAAGAUUAGAACUUCAGUACUUUCUCAUGCACUGUACAGUCCGUUACUAUUAAUAUACUUUACAAGAAGUUCUCGGAUUAACUAUUAUGAUACGUAAAGUUAAUAUUUAAGGAACAACCUCGAGGGAUUUCACAUCAUGACUAAGAAAGGCCACCCUCAGCGUGUAUUUACGAGUAUAUACCACAAGGAUAUACAUUAAAUAAUAAAUUAUGAUAUGCAAUAGUACGAUAAAAAUUAUAAUAAUUAUUGCACUUUAUGUUUUUAUGUGAUUGAGUUAAACUCCUGCCUCCGGUUGGUAAAUCCGUUAAAAAACGUGUCUCAGUCACGAGCAAAAUUCUGCUAGCACUGUGCGUAUUUAUUCUGCGAGAACUUGAUAAGUACGAGUGUAAUAGUUAUCAAGCCAAGAACUUUAUGGAGAUUAUAAAUUUAAUAAUAGAACGAAGACAUAUUACAAUUAACUUGUUCUUACACUUUUAUUUUAAUUAGUUGUUAUGAAAAGAUGUGUGAACGUGCUUACUCCUUUUGGCCUAGUAGUUUUCUUUUGUUUAGUAAUAAUUAAUAUAUCUGCCUUAAUAUAAUUUGUUUGGGAUUUGUUUUGAUGGAUUUUUGGUCAUCACUAUUUCGUCACAUCAUUUCGUAGUGUCAAAAGUUCAUCGUCUUAUCUGUCGAACAGUACCUUAAAAUUUCUUCAACCGAGCUCUUCGCUGGUGCAACUACGUCGCGUUGUUGGAGUACGAAUCACAGCACGGAACGUACAGUAUGUCCAGCGGAAGGAUGUGAAUAUCCGAUUAAAGGGUGUUUUUUUAAAUUAGAGAGGAGUAUUGCAAGAAUUUUGGGAUAUUGUUAUGGCUAAAAUGUAGGAUACUGUGAAAUCAGAAUUAUACGUCCAGCGCAUAGCGCCAUGCGCUAAAAAAAUCGAUGCGGUAUAAUAAAGUAAAGUUAUUAUAAUGUCUGAAAGGGUAAGGUUGCAUUUCACCAGUUUACAACCCCCAAAAUGUGAUAUAGUGAGAAGGAUGUAAAUCCUUCUCUGAAGAUAAGGGGCUUGCAUCAUCUGCACUUCAGGGGACCAAGUUCCUGCUGAAUGCCCAGCUUUCAUUCAUCUUCUCGUUUUUUGCAUUUUGCUCUCCUGAUCUGCCUCAUAUCUCCUGAGUUGGCCAGAAUGGAAUCACUCACUCACCAAAGCUUUAUUACCUGCCGGCCACUCGAGUACCCCAAGUGAGGUAGGUUUGUCUCUAGCUAGAAGUCUGUAUAUCUUAGAGGUUUAUUACCUGCGGCCACUCGAGUACCCCAAGUGAGGUAGGUUUGUCUCUAGCUAGAAGUCUGUAUAUCUUAGAGGUUUAUUACACUCCCUAAAUGAUGUUACAAAUUCUUCUCCGUGUAAGCUGCGAGCCCUUCUCAGGCUUUGUUUUACUGGGUCGGAUGUAUUUUUAUAAAUAAUUUGGCGUUGUGUCCCAAAUUCCAUUCAUCUUAGCUUUUCUCAUGAGGGCCCUACCCAUUUCGUCCUUUUUAUUGUCGGGUCUACCCUGCAGUUUAUGUUCAUCCUGGUAUUUAAUGCAAAGAUACUUCCACUAUUUUCUUUCAGAACCUACACUGACAUUUCGUCAACUGACAUCACGAGAGUCUGGUGACAAUUAGCCAGAAUCUUAUCAUAUCGUAGGCACAAGUUAAGAUCGUCUUCCUAAGAGUACGUUCUCUAGAUCCGGGGCUGGUUUUCCUUACCAGAAACUUCCUCUGCCAGCCUCACAUUGCUCCCCAGAGAGCAUAGCCUCAGCUAGCCGCCUAUCCUUGAAAGAGACUGUGGCUGCCCCAGAAUCUCUCUCUCUCUCUCCUUUCUCAGGGUGCUGAUCCUACCUGUUUGACUUUUUGUCCUAUUAGAGAGGCGAGUCUUAGAGCCACCCUUCUCUUAUCGGAUCAGAUUUGAUAAGGGCUUACCCCUGCCCUUGGACUGUCUUUCAUUAUAUACAGGUCACCACUUGACUUUCCUGGCAAGCUAAGGUUUAAAGCCCCCCCCCCCCCCACCAUUUAAAGAAUCCCGGUGCCGUCAGCUUCCUUCGUUUUCCUUAGAAACGUAUUUUCGAAACCUCCUUUCAUUCAAGAACGGUAGUCGUACCAUAACAUAAUCACUCGACUUUUUCCAAUUUCCCUUCCGGUUUGGGUCCUUCCAGCUCAGUACUGGUGUUGCUGCUCAAAUACCUUCUUCAUAAAUAUCUUGAGACAUCCCGGUCUGUGUAAAAGAUGAAAAGGAUAAAUCAAAAAUGAGAAAUAAAUUGGAGGAGAAAAGAAGUUCGGGUGAUAGAUUAUUCUCCUUGGUCAAAAGAAUAUAAGGGAAUAAGAUUUGAACUAGGUCGUUUUCAGGUGAGCGCGAUCUGUAAACUACUGUUAAAAAUAAGAGCAGGUAGCAAGAGCUUCAUGGGCACAUUCAUGGACAUUAAAACACCAUCCCCCCGAAAAGCCCUAAAAUCUGAUACUAUGCUUUGUUUAAAAUGUUUUUGAAGAUGGAAGGAUUGUGAAUAAAACAUGAUUUUCCGUCGAUCAGUGAUGCAAGAAAUUAGUGACACCGUGCUUGUUUCUCCUGAAUCAAUAAUAACAAUAUUAGUACUCAUAAACAUUUUUGGCUUAUCGUAAAUUUUGUAACUGUGAACCCAAAAAAAGAAUUGAGUUAAUUAUUUACUCUCGGUUAAUUAUUUGUGAGAAUCUGGUCAUAUACAGUAUAUGAGACUCGUUCUUGGGUGCAUUUUAUAAAUUGGUAUGUCAGGUGAAAGCUUAUAUUAGUAACAGGUCAUAUGUACUUUAAGCGUAUCAACUUCCACUAUGAUGGAUAUAUAUAUAUAUAUAUAUAUAUAUAUAUGCAACAUUUUCAAGUUACAUAAGCUUUAAAAAUAUAUGCUAUUGGCACUGUAAAAUCACGUGCUGAGCUAUAAUCCAGUUGUUAAAACCUCACUACUAUUUAAUUGAAAUGCAGUCUAAAAGUAUAAUUUUAGUUACAGAAUAAUAAUUGAGAAAAUAUUUUAAGAAACCUUCAACAUAAACAAUUACUAAACGCUUAAUAGAUUUUCAUAAUGAUCAAACACAAAAAAUAACGUAUAUAAAAACUCUACUUGUUGCAAAAAUUAUUGUUGGUGUAUGAUCAAAAAUAAUAUCAAUUUAUAUAACUCCACUUAUACAUUGUUGCAAAUUAUCGUACCACACUUAAAUAUUGCACAAUUUCUUUUCAUUUAUAUUUUACAAGUGGUAGUCUGAAAGUGCGUUUUAAAACAAAACAAUCUUUUUAUACAGCUGUUACCAUGUAUAAUUACCAUUGAAUCAUUGGUGGGCACGAUUUUAUUAUAUACUCUA